GUAGGGUGCAAGCGUUGUCCGGAAUUAUUGGGCGUAAAGAGCUCGUAGGCGGUCUGUCGCGUCGGCUGUGAAAACUCGGGGCUCAACCCCGAGCCUGCAGUCGAUACGGGCAGACUAGAGUGCGGUAGGGGAGACUGGAAUUCCUGGUGUAGCGGUGAAAUGCGCAGAUAUCAGGAGGAACACCGGUGGCGAAGGCGGGUCUCUGGGCCGUAACUGACGCUGAGGAGCGAAAGCGUGGGGAGCGAACAGGAUUAGAUACCCUGGUAGUCCACGCCGUAAACGGUGGGUGCUAGGUGUAGGCGGUAUUCCACGCCGUCUGUGCCGCAGCUAACGCAUUAAGCACCCCGCCUGGGGAGUACGGCCGCAAGGCUAAA
rnacentral:rRNA from 1 species